CGUAUGCAACCUGCCCCUGUCAGGGGGACAACCCGCCGAAAGGCGGGCUAAUCCCGCGUAAAUCCUCCGAGGGCAUCCUCGGAGGAGGAAAGGAUUUAUCCGGACAGGGAUGGGCAUGCGGCGCAUUAGGCAGUUGGCGGGGUAACGGCCCACCAAACCGACGAUGCGUAGGGGUUCUGAGAGGAAGGUCCCCCACACUGGUACUGAGACACGGACCAGACUCCUACGGGAGGCAGCAGUGAGGAAUAUUGGUCAAUGGUCGGAAGACUGAACCAGCCAAGCCGCGUGAAGGAUGAAGGCGCUAAGCGUCGUAAACUUCUUUUGUCAAGGGACAAAAAGAGAUAUGUAUAUCUCCUUGAGGGUACUUGAAGAAAAAGCAUCGGCUAACUCCGUG
rnacentral:rRNA from 1 species